UCGCCUGUUUAUCAAAAACAUCGCCUCUUGAGAAAUAUAAGAGGUCCAGCCUGCCCAGUGACUCUGUUCAACGGCCGCGGUAUCCUAACCGUGCGAAGGUAGCGUAAUCACUUGUUCUUUAAAUGAGGACUAGUAUGAAAGGCAUCACGAGGGUUAUACUGUCUCCUUUUUCUAAUUAGUGAAACUAAUCUCCCCGUGAAGAAGCGGGGAUACUUAUAUAAGACGAGAAGACCCUAUGGAGCUUUAAAUAAUAUAACAAUUGCCACUUUAUUCUUAUUAAUUUUUAACAUCUGGCAAUAUGAUUAUUAAUUUUUGGUUGGGGUGACCGCGGAGUAUAACAUAACCUCCACAUUGAAAGGAUUAAUAUCCUAAGCUAAAAACAACAACUUUAAGCAUCAACAAAUUGACAUCAAUUGACCCAAUAUAUUUGAUCAACGAACCAAGUUACCCUAGGGAUAACAGCGCAAUCUACUUUAAGAGCCCAUAUCGACAAGUAGGUUUACGACCUCGAUGUUGGAUCAGGGUAUCCUAGUGGUGCAGCCGCUACUAAUGGUUCGUUUGUUCAACGAUUAAAACCCUACGUGAUCUGAGUUCAGACGGGA
rnacentral:rRNA from 1 species